GAUGAACGCUGGCGGCGUGCUUAAUACAUGCAAGUCGAACGGAAAGACGAUGCUCUUGUGGCGUGGUCGUGUGGCGAACGGGUGAGUGUAACGUGAGUAUAAUGUACCUGUCAUAGGGAUAACUUCAGGAGAAUGGGGCUCAUAUCGGGUAGGAGCUACUGAUGCAUGGUGUGGGUUGGUAAGUUACGGUGGUUGGGGAUGGACUCGAGGUGUAUUAGCUUGAUGGUGGGGUAGAUGCUUAACAAGGCUACGAUGGGUAGCCGACCUGAGAGGGUGACCGGCCCCCCUGGAACUGAGACACGGUCCAGACUCCUACGGGAGGCAGCAGGAGGGAAUCUUCCGCAGUGGGCGAAAGCCUGACGGAGCAACGCCGCGUGAGUGAUGAAGGUCUUCGGAUCGUAAAACUCUGUUAUUAGGGAAGAACAAAUGUGUAAGUAACUAUGCACGUCUUGACGGUACCUAAUCAGAAAGCCACGGCUAACUACGUG
rnacentral:rRNA from 1 species